rnacentral:rRNA from 1 species
UACGUAGGGGCAAGCGUUGUCCGGAUUUAUUGGGCGUAAAGAGCGUGUAGGCGGCCAGAUAGGUCUGUUGUGAAAACUCGAGGCUCAACCUCGAGACGCCGAUGGAAACCAUUUGGCUAGAGUCCGGAAGAGGAGAGUGGAAUUCCUGGUGUAGCGGUGAAAUGCGCAGAUAUCAGGAAGAACACCCGUGGCUAAGGCGGCUCUCUAGUACGGUACUGACGCUGAGACGCGAAAGCGUGGGGAGCGAACAGG